CCUACGGGAGGCAGCAGUGAGGAAUAUUGGUCAAUGGACGAGAGUCUGAACCAGCCAAGUAGCGUGAAGGAUGACUGCCCUAUGGGUUGUAAACUUCUUUUAUAUGGAAAUAAAACGUUCCACGUGUGGGAUUUUGUAUGUACAAUAUGAAUAAGGAUCGGCUAACUCCGUGCCAGCAGCCGCGGUAAUACGGAGGAUCCGAGCGUUAUCCGGAUUUAUUGGGUUUAAAGGGAGCGUAGGUGGAUUGUUAAGUCAGUUGUGAAAGUUUGCGGCUCAACCGUAAAAUUGCAGUUGAAACUGGCAGUCUUGAGUACAGUAGAGGUGGGCGGAAUUCGUGGUGUAGCGGUGAAAUGCUUAGAUAUCACGAAGAACUCCGAUUGCGAAGGCAGUUCACUGGACUGCAACUGACACUGAGGCUCGAAAGUGUGGGUAUCAAACAGGAUUAGAUACCCGGGUAGUC
rnacentral:rRNA from 1 species